ACAGAAGUGAAGUAAAAGCUUGAUCUUGGAUCUGUGAAAUUUGAGACAAGGAAAGCACAAACUCUACUCUCUCUUUUUUGAGAUUCAUCAAAGUUCUAUACUUAGGAGUAAUAGCAGAGGCAAGGAAAUAAGACAAUAUGAAGUAUCAAACAAUGGACAUCAUUUCUCGAUUUGAACAUUUUUUAUGGUCUUUAUAAAAUGGCGUCAUGAGUAAUAUUUUUGAGUACUAUUGUCAUGUGACAAGUUUAUAUGUACCUUUUAGAUUAUGGUGUGGGCUAUUAGUUUGCUAGAAAUAUUGGAUCUAUUUUGUGUUACAGGAUUAUAUAAUGAACCUUUUAAUUGAGAUGUUUUGGAUAUUUUGGGAUUAUAAAA